rnacentral:rRNA from 1 species
UACAGAGACUGCAAGCGUUAUUCGGAUUCACUGGGCGUAAAGGGUGCGCAGGCGGCCAAGUGUGUGAGGCGUGAAAGCCUGAAGCUUAACUCCAGAAUUGCACCUCAAACUACAUGGCUAGAGCAUUGGAGAGGGUAGCGGAAUUCACGGUGUAGCAGUGAAAUGCGUAGAUAUCGUGAGGAACACCAGAGGCGAAGGCGGCUACCUGGACAAUUGCUGACGCUCAGGCACGAAAGCGUGGGGAGCAAAAGGG